CAACAGCUUUCUUAUCUUGUCAACUCAAUAGGCAGGGACGUCACAACCUCAAAGUGACAAUGAUUGGUAAACCAGGGCUCCUGAGGUGACAGGAGAGGCAUUGGGAAGGACAACUGAAGGGUAGGACAACUGAGCUAUAAGGGAUGAGAUGAUGAGGUGGAAGCUUAUACAACAGUGGUUCUCAGACUCCAGUGUGCCUCAGAAUCAACUGGAGGGCUUAUUAACACAGAUUGCUGGGCCUCAUCCUCAAAGAUACUGAUUCUGUAAGUAGAUCUUCGGUGCGGUCUAAGAGUCUACAUUUUUAACAGGCUCUCAGGUGAUAUGAUGCUGCUGGUCCGGGGACCACAUUUUGAGAACCAACAAUCUACAGAAUUACUUCCUAUGACUGGCAUGAGUAUGAAGUGAUGAUUAAUCUUUGGUAAGUAAGUAAAUUCUCCACACAAAUGAAGGUCACCUCAGAUGUGACACUUUUAUUUUAAUACCUUUUUGAUGAAAACUCUUCUAAAACGUAUCAGUUUUAUUCUUAUAUAUGUGAACAAGGGGCUCUUAAAUACCACUUAACUUUUCUUUGGAUUGAAGUUAUCAAAUAAUUCCUCUUGAUUUCAGAAGGGAUAAGAAAUAUGGCCUUUUGACUUAAGAACUUACUAACCUGAACGACAUUUCCAGACUGUAUUCCUGAAGGGACAGUCAUAGAUCCCAGGAAGAGAUAGUAGUGAAACUUAGGAGUCAGCAUGAGUUCCCUGAGAAUAAGUGUGUAUAGCUGACUUUAUUUCCUCUUUGUUAUGACUACUAGAUUAGUAAAUUGGAGAAACUGUAUAGGCAUAGAUAUUGCACUAGCUAUGCUUACCAGGUGAUACCAAAAUAUGUUGAGUUGAUUAAUGGAUGGGUGUCAUCCUGGGUAGAUAUUUCUUGCACAGUGCCAGAGGGCUCUGUCUUUGGCUUUGUCUAAUUAUUUCUUAAUCAUUUGGAUGAGCCAGAACAUAACCCACUCCCAUUCCCCAGGGUUAUGAAAACACAGACAAGAAGACCACUUGACGGACAAUAAAGAAAGGAUGUGAAGGAGAGCCAGAGUAGACUUUGAGGACCAAACGAUCCAGCACUCUGAUUUUCAGAUAGUUAUGAUUAGUUGAUUACUUGUUAUUUUACUGUAGUGUAAUAGCCAAAAUAAGUAUGUGGCUGCCUUAGAGUUUCUGGUCUUUGCUGCCAGGAUGACAGCAAAUUAACUGUAAUUUUCAAGAACACAUAUCUUGCUGCUCAACUGAGUUUUAUCCUUCCUCAUAUGUCUUCUUUCAACCUGCUCUUAGAUUGCUGUUUCAGCUCUAUGAGGCUCUGUGAAACCGGAUAACUAGACUUGACGAGAAAUAUAAAUGCAACAAGAAUAAGCAGACCAAUGCAGAACAUAAGGGACCGUUUGUUUGGAGUUUGGCUGUAGAGUCUCAGGAGUGUUUUCUCU
rnacentral:lncRNA from 1 species